AAUCCCUGUGACAAGGACAGGCCCCGGCGCAUCGUGGACUGGCGGUACCUUUGUGCUGGAAGGAUGACCGGAAAGCUGGGUGGACACUCAGUCCCCAGCACCCUGCCCGCCCUGCGCUGUGUGUGGCUGUCCCCAGGCCUGGGGCCCGGUGCAGGAGCUUGCCUGCAGGGCUGUUGGCAGCACCUGCCUUUGCAGCUGCUCCUCGGUACCUGAGCGCCAGGCUGGCCCAGUCCAAGACAGACAGCUGGGACUACGGGUGUGUUCUGGGCCGGCAUCCCUGGCCUUCCCUUUCGGAAAGGAAGGUGGGGAGGGGGAGGGGAGCGGGGUCCCAGAGCAGGACUUCAGAAGGCCCCCUGCCUUUCCUAUCAGGAAACACAUCCUGUUAGUGUCUGGCUGCUGUGGCCAGGCUGCUAUUUGUUGCAGUUGGCUACGCCCUCCAGCUCACCAAAAACAGCCUCAAAAACAACCAUUUCCUCUCUGCUGAGAGACAGGGAGAAAACGCACGCGCACGCACACGCACUCUCUCUCUCUCUCUCUCUCUCACACACACACACACACACACACACACACUUCCCUGCAGCAGGCUCUCUGCUUUCCAGGACCGGCUGUUUCGUGGCGGAGGCACCGGGUAGGGGCUCAGGCAGCUGAGAGGCCGCUGCACGCGCACUGCUCCCGCGGCCCUGCCCAGAGCCAGGCUCCCGUGCUGGUUCCGCUCUGAGCCAGCUGGACCUCAGGAGCGAGGCCCAGGCCGACUCCCACGUGGCCACCUGCCUCUUGAGUUGCUUUCUGUUUUCCCCGCAAAGGGGAGAGAAGAGGCUUCGAAGCCUCCCUUGGCCUCCGAGUCCGAGGAAGACGGCGCACCCACGACUCUGGACUCCCGGUGGUGCCCCGGCUUCCUCCCUGGGAUGGGCCGAGCAGCCGGCUGCAGCUCAGGCCGGGCCCUGCUCCAGGUGCAGGAAGGAGGGUAAAGAGGGCCGUGAGGAGGGCUCACCUGCACCUGCCGCAUGGGCCUUCCCGACGCCUCCAAGAAUGAGCGGUGAUGUCCUCUAGCCACCCCUAGCAGCGUCUCGGUUCUCCCCUGCGCAGCAGCUGACCAGGACUGGGACUUUCUCUACAACAAGCGGACGGCACCCGCAGUCCGGGAUGACUGUCCAGAAACUGGUGGCCACGGCCGUGCUGGUGGCCCUCGUCUCUCUCGUCCUCAACAACGCAGCGGCCUUCACCCCCAACUGGGUGUACCAGACACUGGAGGAUGGGCGCAAGCGGAGCGUGGGGCUGUGGAAGUCCUGCUGGCUGGUGGACAGGGCCCGGGGCGCGCCGAGCCCUGGGGCCAGGCCGGGGCAGGCAGAGGCGCGGGAGUGCGAGGCCCUGGGCUGGGGCUCCGAGGCAGCAGGCUUCCAGGAGUCCCGAGGCACCGUCAAACUGCAGUUUGACAUGAUGCGCGCCUGCAACCUGGUUGCCACAGCGGCGCUUGCUGCGGGCCAGCUCACCUUCGUCCUGGGGCUGACGGGCCUGCCCCUGAUGUCGCCCGAUUCCCAGUGCUGGGAGGAGGCCAUGGCCGCUGCCUUCCAGCUGGCGAGUUUUGUCCUGGUCAUCGGGCUGGUGACGUUCUACAGAAUCGGCCCAUAUACCAACCUGUCCUGGUCUUGCUACCUGAACAUUGGUGCCUGCCUUCUGGCCACUCUGGCAGCUGCCAUGCUCAUCUGGAACAUUCUUCACAGGAGAGAGGACUGCAUGGGGCCCCGGGUGAUUGUCAUCAGCCGCUCACUGACUGCGCGGUUUCGCCGUGGGCUGGACAAUGACUAUGUGGAGUCACCGUGCUGAGCGUCCCUGGGGAGAGGCCUGCUCAGGACUUUAUCCAUAUAAGGGAACAGUCUAGAAACCGAGGGACUGCGGUGAUCUGUUUGGUUUCCUAUAUAUAAAUAUGUACAAUACACAGAAAAAUCUUUAACCUAUCUUCAGCAAAUGCUUGGUGGGCCACAGAAGGCCUUCAGGAUACUGCACUGAUGCCACACACCCUGGGCCUGAACCCGUAAGAAGUGGGUAAGCCGUAACCCCUAGGCUGAACAGAAAACACCCGAGAGCUGCAUCCCAAGCUUCAAACUGGACCAUGCCCUCAUGGACCCAGGACUGGGGACCACCUGACCACAUCUCCAAGGACAGUCCGCGAAGCACCAGGCCCAGACGCUUCCCAUGUGCUGCAUUGCUUGACCCACGCCACCUGGAGGCGGGAGUCACUCUCGUCACCCUCCAGCCCAGCAAACUGACACUGGGAGUGGGUGGCACAGCCAGGGUCAGACCCGGGGCCACUUGGCUGCCUCCCCCACACCAGACUGACUCUGCUAAGGAACAUUUAGCUUUGUGGCUUUCAACCUUUCAGAGAAUGUGAGGUGGCCAGCCUGGAAUUUGAAGCCUGUAUCACCCCAGAAAUUUGUCUUCUGUCAGAACAAAUGGUGGAUUGAGGUCAGUGCUUUAAAAAACAGAAAGUGAUGGAGAAUGAUUCAGAAGCAUCUAUGGCCUUACCAUCUCCAACAGACUCAGCACACACAGUGCAGAGAUAACCAGAUUCCCGUCCCGCAGCCAGCACACUCAUGGAACAUUUAGGUCGGACCUUCCUCCCACUGAGCUUCUUUCUUACAUUGGAUUUUCCCAAUCAUAUGCUAAAAAUAAUUGUUUUUUGAAAGAAUGAUGGAAUAUUUAAGAUGUACAAUUUUAAUAAAAUUAUGUAUAUGACUACAUAUGUACAUUAAAGUUUUAAAGCUG